UUCUGAUGAUUGAGCCAAUUAGAGAAGAACCGGAAGUAAAAGAGUUGGACUCCGAUCAUAAAGGUAUAAAAACUGAUGAAGAUAUUGAAGACAUCACACAUACAGUGCAUGCAUUGGCUAGUUAUGCUAACCCACAAACUAUAAAAAUCGGAGGAACUUUGAAGCAUCAACCUGUCACUAUUUUGAUUGAUACAGAUAGUACUAAUAAUUUUAUGGACAGGAAAGUUGCAGCCCAAUUAGCCCACCACAUUGAAGGCUAUGAUAUAUUCGAAGCUGAUGGACGGAUUUUAACUUAUGAUAGCAAAGGCCAGGAAUUUCUUGCAACGAUUACUAUACUGAAAGAUCGACC
rnacentral:lncRNA from 1 species